AUAUUCGACUAUAAUUGGUUAAUUUCUUAUGGCAUAAGGCUUACUACACCUAUUGUAGAUCUGGCCUUACAGACUAGCCUUACGAUUUUUAUAAAAAUACUCAAUUGUGAUUAGUCAAUUUUUUACAGCUUAAAGCUUAAGUCUUUAUUGUAGACUACGCCUAAGAUGGAUCUUAAAUAAGAUCAGUCUAUGAAUUCCGUCCAUAAACGUACAAUACGGGAGAGGUUUAGUGGCGUAUAGUACAAUUGGACACGUUGCAAUUGCCCACCGUGCUAUUAAGGUGCCUUUUCACGUUGACGCUUGACGCGCCAGACGCCGAUGUAAAGCCCGUUUUACAUUGGCUAUGUUCAGAAAACAACCGUUGCACAACAGUUGAGUAAUUCACUAAUAUAAUUGGUCCAAAUUUAGAGUUCUAACAGUAAGGACUAAUAAUCUACUACUAAUAAUCACUGACCGCUCACUGAUCAAUUGUGUUUUUUGAACGUAACUAUUAAGCCUCGUUGACAAGUUGCCAACAGCCAGUUGCGACUUGCGACAUCCAAUAAGCGUUUAGUUUCUAGUUAAAGCUCGACAAUCAUUGGGUGUACGCACACAUACAACACAUGAAAGCACAUUAUAGAAAAUAAGAUCAUGCGCAUGUCACAAAAAAGCAAAAAGCAGAUUCUUAAGAUGACUGUUUGAUUAUUAAGGUGCCUUUUCAUGCUGACGCCUGACGCUCAUUUUCAGCGUCAAAAGACAUUACGUGACUAAAAAUAAAGAUACCCGUUUGUCAUUUUUAGUCACGUGAUGUUUUUUGACGCUGAAAAUGAGCGUCAAGCGUCAGCGUGAAAAGGCAUCUUAAGGUGGAAGCACAUAAAAUUGCAGGAGCUGUAAGACAGAAUGCAGAAGCCAUAGCGCAUGCGCUAUGGUAUUACUUUAUCUGUCCAUGAAUUAAUAACAAUGAACAAUUACGAGAAUGAAGUAAGUAAUAUACUAAUAUUAUAUAGUAGAUGUGGAAUAUUUUGAUCAUUCUUGUUGUGCAUAAAUAUGCUGCUUUUUGGGACAUUAAGUCAUGACUCGUGAUAAUUACAUUUUUAGGAAACAAGCGGCAGUUUCACGACGCGAAUGUUUUGCCACUAUUUCUACCUCCAUUAGACAAGCGGCAAAUUUAGUUACGUGAUCCCCAUUUACCGCUGGUUUCUAGCGUCCAUGAAAGUUGUUGACGUUUCAGUAUCGUACUUAAGAUGGAUCUUGAAUAAAAUCGGUCUAUGAA